rnacentral:sRNA from 1 species
AUCAACUGAAGCAACGGAACCGCUUCAGCGAUCAAGGAUGAUCAGCCAUGGCGCGGAGCGCUGCCGACAGGAAGUUGGAAUGGUGUUGAACUGAAAAACGACCCGCUUCGGCGGGUUUUUU